rnacentral:rRNA from 1 species
UACGUAGGGUGCGAGCGUUGUCCGGAAUUAUUGGGCGUAAAGAGCUUGUAGGCGGUUUGUCGCGUCUGCCCGUGAAAAUCCGGGGCUCAACCCCGGACUUGCGGUGGGUACGGGCAGACUAGAGUGUGGUAGGGGAGACUGGAAUUCCUGGUGUAGCGGUGAAAUGCGCAGAUAUCAGGAGGAACACCGAUGGCGAAGGCAGGUCUCUGGGCCACUACUGACGCUGAGAAGCGAAAGCGUGGGGAGCGAACAGG